rnacentral:rRNA from 1 species
CACGGGUGAGUAAUAUAUAGGUAAUGUACCUCUUAGUCUGGGAUAGCCACUGGAAACGGUGAUUAAUACUGGAUACUCCUUCUAACUAUAAUGUUAGUUGGGAAAGUUUUUCGCUAAGAGAUCGGACUAUAUCCCAUCAGCUUGUUGGUGAGGUAAUGGCUCACCAAGGCAAUGACAGGUAGCGGGUUUGAGAGGAUGAUCCGCCACACUGGUACUGAGACACGGACCAGACUCC